ensembl:lncRNA
GCAAUAAUAAAAAUAAAAUGGUCUAGUAAAUGGGUUUUUGUUUAUUAUUCAUAUUUACCGUUUUUCCUCAAAUCAUCCCACAGGCCGGAUUGGACACCUGCACAGGAUGCAUGCUGCUCACGGGUCGUGACUUUGACACCACUAAAGCAGAACAAUGCCAAUCAGGGUUUGUGUCCUGGACUUUCCUCCGCUGCUGGUGCAGAUGUGCUGUGACCCUGUUCCUGGCCAGCCAAGAAUGACAUCAUCCACUUAGAGCCAACUGUACGGAUUCACAGCCAACCCAGAUAGGUUUAUUUAUAGACAUCAGCGGCCCCCACCCAGGCUGCACCACCACGUCUACCACCGAGCCAAGUUUCUUAUCAUUCUCCCAGGCCCUACUGUAAGCACACACGCUCCCUCAACAAUAUCCCAUGUGGCUGGAGAAUACUGUAGGCCAAGGAGAGGACGACACUUGACCUCACUGGUCCCACUCUAUACACACACGGGUGGGUACGGACACACUGGAGGACACUGGGAAACAUGUUUGGGCUUGUUACGCACACUUCUGUGGGGAAGUCGUGGCCUAGUGGUUAGAGAGUUUGACUUCUAACUCUAGGGUUGUGGGUUCGAGUCUCGGGCCGGCAAUAUCAUGACUGAGGUGCCCUUGAGCAAGGCACAAAACCCCUAACUGCUCCCCGGGCGCCGCAGCAUAAAUGGCUGCCCACUACUCCGAGUGUGUGUUCAUGGUGUGUGUGUGUGUUUACUGCUGUGUGCACUUUGGAUGGGUUAAAUGCAGAGCACAAAUUCUGAGUAGGGGUCAUCAUACUUGGCUGUAUGUCACUUUCACUUUCACUUCUUUUAGUUUACUGACACAGCUGUAAGGUGUUGUCACACCUGCACAUAUACAAAACACACACAAACUCAGACAUGUCAAAAAGGAUCUGUAGAAAAUCUGGUGAGCCCAGAUUAUGUGAUGUGCAUAAUGAACUGACUUGAUACUUGAGCAUAAAAUAUGUUGAUACUUUAAAAAAAAAAAAAGAUAUUUAUUCCUAUUGAGUUUAUUUACAUUUAUAAUUAAGAAAUAUUCUAUUAAGUAUUAAAACAUAUGAUUUUUAAAAAUAUAUAUUUUAUUUUUAUUUAAAAUACACAAUAUGUGUGGUAUUUAUGCAAAUAUUUUUAAAAUAGUAUUUUUUUAUAUUUUGAUAAAUAUUUUACAAAUUUUAAAUGUUUUAAUAAAAAUUAGAUUUUUUUUUUUUACA